CUAAUUAACUUGGUCAUGCCCACAUUACCUCUGUGACCAUAUUUAUGACCACGUAUUAGGUUUUUCCUGAUAUUUUUAUAUACUUUUUCAAGAAUACAAAUCAAUGUUAAUUCACUUGUGCCCUAGGGCAUUACUAAAAGAGCUGACAGGGGCUGUAGUCCAGGUGAAUCCUGAAAACACUCAUUUGGGCACAAUUUCGCUGUUAGCCCCAAGUCCACUGUAUAUCUUGAGAGAGAAAUAAUAUCUCCAGUUACAUCAUUUGUGACAAUUCUACUUUGAUGCACCAUAUUUGGAGGUACCUCUACAGAACAGUGUGGAAGUAAUGCUGCAGGUGCUAGCUUACUAUAGCAUGGUGUAGAGUUAAUACAACAGGC